rnacentral:misc_RNA from 1 species
UCUCCGUAGGUGAACCUGCGGAGGGAUCAUUACAGAGUUCAUGCCCUACCGGGUAGAUCUCCCACCCUAUGUUAUUAUUACUUUGUUGCUUUGGCGGGCCGUUAGGCUCCGGCCCGACUACCGGCCCCGGCUGGUAAGCGCCAGCCAGAGGACCCAAAACCCUGAAUAUUAGUGUCGUCUGAGUACUAUAUAAUAGUUAAAACUUUCAACAACGGAUCUCUUGGUUCUG